rnacentral:rRNA from 1 species
UACGGAGGAGGCAAGCGUUAUCCGGAAUUAUUGGGCGUAAAGCGUCCGCAGGUGGCACUUCAAGUCUGUCGUCAAAGCACAGGGCUUAACCCUGUAAAGGCAGUGGAAACUACAAGACUAGAGUGCAGUAGGGGCAGAGGGAAUUCCCAGUGUAGCGGUGAAAUGCGUAGAGAUUGGGAAGAACAUCCGUGGCGAAAGCGCUCUGCUGGACUGCAACUGACAUUGAGGGACGAAAGCUAGGGGAGCGAAUGGG